rnacentral:rRNA from 1 species
GCAUGGCUGUCGUCAGCUCGUGUCGUGAGAUGUUCGGUUAAGUCCGCUAACGAGCGCAACCCUCGCUGUGUGUUACAAGUGUCACACGGAACUGCCGGUCAUAAACCGGAGGAAGGUGGGGAUGACGUCAAGUCAGCAUGGCCUUUAUAUCCUGGGCUACACACACGCUACAAUGGGAAGGGACAAUAGGUUGCGAAGCCGCGAGGCGGAGCUAAUCCAGCAAAACUUCCCUCAGUUCAGAUUGCAGGCUGCAACUCGCCUGCAUGAAGUUGGAGUUGCUAGUAAACGCAGGUCAGCCAUACUGCGUUGAAUACGUUCCCGGGGCUU